rnacentral:rRNA from 1 species
CAACUCCAAACCCAUGUGAACUUACCUAUGUUGCCUCGGCGGGGAGACCUACCCGGUAGUUACCCUGUAGUUACCCUGUAGAGCUACCCGUCGACGGACCAUCAAACUCUGUUUUUCUAUGAAACUUCUGAGUGUUUUAACUUAAUAAAUUAAAACUUUCAACAACGGAUCUCUUGGUUCUGGCAUCGAUGAAGAACGCAGCGAAAUGCGAUAAGUAAUGUGAAUUGCAGAAUUCAGUGAAUCAUCGAAUCUUUGAACGCACAUUGCGCCCAUUAGUAUUCUAGUGGGCAUGCCUGUUCGAGCGUCAUUUCGACCAUCAAGCCCUAUUUGCUUGGCGUUGGGAGCUUACCCUGCAGCUGCGGGAUAACUCCUCAAAUAUAUUGGCAGAGUCGCGAAGACCCUAAGCGUAGUAAUUCUUCUCGCUUCAGCAGUGUUGACGCUGGCAUCUAGCCACUAAACCCCUAAUUUUUAUAGGUUUGACCUCGGAUCAGGUAGGAAUACCCGCUGAACUUAAGCAUAUCAAUAAGCGGAGGAAAAGAAACCAACAGGGAUUGCCCUAGUAACGGCGAGUGAAGCGGCAACAGCUCAAAUUUGAAAUCUGGCCCUAGUGGUCCGAAUUGUAAUUUGUAGAGGAUGCUUUGGGCGCGGUGCCUUCCGAGUUCCUUGGAACAGGACGCCUUAGAGGGUGAGAGCCCCGUACGGUUGGACACCAAGCCUAUGUAAAGCUCCUUCGACGAGUCGAGUAGUUUGGGAAUGCUGCUCUAAAUGGGAGGUAAAUUUCUUCUAAAGCUAAAUACCGGCCAGAGACCGAUAGCGCACAAGUAGAGUGAUCGAAAGAUGAAAAGUACUUUGAAAAGAGGGUUAAAUAGCACGUGAAAUUGUUGAAAGGGAAGCAUUUAUGACCAGACCUUUGCUAGGUGGAUCAUCCGGUGUUCUUCACCGGUGCACUUCGCCUAGCUUAGGCCAGCAUCGAUUUCUGUAGGGGGAUAAAGGUCUAGGGAACGUAGCUCUCUUCGGAGAGUGUUAUAGCCCUGGGCGUAAUACCCUUACGGGGAUCGAGGUCGCG